rnacentral:rRNA from 1 species
UACGAAGGGGGCUAGCGUUGCUCGGAAUCACUGGGCGUAAAGGGUGCGUAGGCGGGUUCUUAAGUCAGAGGUGAAAUCCUGGAGCUCAACUCCAGAACUGCCUUUGAUACUGAGAGUCUUGAGUUCGGGAGAGGUGAGUGGAACUGCGAGUGUAGAGGUGAAAUUCGUAGAUAUUCGCAAGAACACCAGUGGCGAAGGCGGCUCACUGGCCCGAUACUGACGCUGAGGCACGAAAGCGUGGGGAGCAAACAGG